AAACAGGUUGUUGUGACUACUAUAGAUAACCUUCUGGCAGAAAAUCACACAACUGUAUGGAAAGACAGUUCCAAAAGAAAGACAAAUGGAAGAGUCAGUAAAAUUCUGAAGACAGUUGAUAAAUUUGGGAUGCAUAUUUUGGGGAAUGUUCAGCAGAACGAAAGCAUCACGUUCAACACCACGAAAAAUAUGCUUCUUACCGUCGCAAAAAUACCAGCAGAUGAUGAUGUUGUUUUUCCAAAUAAAGACAACACAAGUUCAUCUUUAGUAUUGCCAGCACAACUU